GAUGAACGCUGGCGGCGUGCCUAAUACAUGCAAGUCGAGCGAACAGACGAGGAGCUUGCUCCUCUGACGUUAGCGGCGGACGGGUGAGUAACACGUGGAUAACCUACCUAUAAGACUGGGAUAACUGCGGGAAACCGGAGCUAAUACCGGAUAAUAUAUUUAACCGCAUGGUUCAAUAGUGAAAGACGGUUUUGCUGUCACUUAUAGAUGGAUCCGCGCCGCAUUAGCUAGUUGGUAAGGUAACGGCUUACCAAGGCAACGAUGCGUAGCCGACCUGAGAGGGUGAUCGGCCACACUGGAACUGAGACACGGUCCAGACUCCUACGGGAGGCAGCAGUAGGGAAUCUUCCGCAAUGGGCGAAAGCUUGACGGAGCAACGCCGCGUGAGUGAUGAAGGUCUUCGGAUCGUAAAACUCUGUUAUUAGGGAAGAACAAAUGUGUAAGUAACUAUGCACGUCUUGACGGUACCUAAUCAGAAAGCCACGGCUAACUACGUG
rnacentral:rRNA from 1 species